rnacentral:rRNA from 2 species
AUCCUCCAAGGCUAAAUACUCCUGACUGACCGAUAGUGAACCAGUACCGUGAGGGAAAGGCGAAAAGAACCCCGGCGAGGGGAGUGAAAGAGAACCUGAAACCGUGUACGUACAAGCAGUGGGAGCCUUGAUUUAUCAGGGUGACUGCGUACCUUUUGUAUAAUGGGUCAGCGACUUAUAUUCUGUAGCGAGGUUAACCGCAUAGGGGAGCCGUAGGGAAACCGAGUCUUAACUGGGCGAAUGAGUUGCAGGGUAUAGACCCGAA